GCCUUCGUGGUGUAGCGGUCAGCACGCUCGACGUGUAUUCGAGAGGUCCGUGGUUCGAGUCCCGGCGAGGGCA
rnacentral:tRNA from 1 species